UGAUUUAGCAAAAUUCCAAAAGCGUUCUCUUUUUUAAUUACGCAAUGAUGUGUAAUAAACUCGUCGAAUAAAAGGUGCGUUAGUGCGUUUGAGUCGAGAGGAGGGAGUUACGGUUCUCGUUUGAAAGCCAAGGGGCAACACAAAAAGAAAGUAUUUGGCAACACUCCUGAGACGGGACAACAAGCAAAUAACAGUAGACUUCGUGUAAGCAUUCGACCUGCAAAACGUUUGGCAGUAUUCUCAAGAAUCAGUCGAGUUGUUGUUUUGAAGCAAGUUUCCUUUUGGACCGCUUGGAAUAGGUUUCUUUUUUCUGGAACUAUUGGUUUCUCGCGCAGAAGCGGAUUGGUUCAAACCCAAGAAAGGGCCAGUCAAGGUGGAAGUUUGAAUUGAUCAUGACAUCCUUUGACCUGUGGGGGAGCAGUGAACUAUUCUCCUCUGGAGUAUGGGCCCUGAGAAACCUGAUCCACAGGAUGCCGACCAUCCCUCCCUCCUCCCUCGACGCCCACCCACCAGCUUUCCCGCCCUUUUCCUUUACCACACCACCCGCCCCCCCCUGUUCCCCGUAUCCCUCCCCACCAUGCUCUCCAGGGCCUGGGGUGAAGGGGAUUGGAGGGUCCGGAGGGGUGACCCUGCGUUCUCCAGCCACUCGUCACCUCACCCACCUGGACCCCUGGAGGAGGCAUAGCUGGGAGCCCGGGGCUGUGGUGACAGUGCAGCAGCAGGGGAUGGAGCCCAGCGACAACCACAGUGUGAGUCUGGAGAACCUGGAUCCGGAGGAGAUGGAGAAGGUUCUGGGAGCGGCGCUGGGCGUCCGGCGAGUGGGGAGGAACCCCAUCACUCAGGAGGGCUCCUUGUCUUCCCUCACGGAGGAGGAGGCAGGGUCCGACCUGCAGCACUACUCCGUAUUGGAGGAACAGUCCAACCAGCUGCAGGGCUGCAGUGCGUCGGCCCCAACCCUCAGUGUGGUGCGUCGCAGCAACCCUCCCAGCACGGGCCCCCGACCAGUCUCCAACUGCUACGGUAAGCCUACGCUACAUGCCUGGAUCGUGUUCAUUACGCACCAAACGAAGAAAACGGACUGAAACGGGGAGGGACUACCUGGAACUGUCCAAUAAGAAA
rnacentral:lncRNA from 1 species